AUCGCUUCUCAGCCUUUUGGCUAAGAUCAAGUGUAGUAUCUG
rnacentral:snRNA from 1 species